CUGGGAAGGAGAGGGGUGUCGAGACCGGUGGGCGUCACGCUGUGGCCGCCUCCCCCCUUCUCGGUGGGAGUGAUGAGACGGCUGCUCUUAAGACGGAGACGGAAGUGGACGCGGGCGUCGGCGGCUGCUUCUGGACGGCAUAGGGUGCGCCACCGGUUGUUCUACCGGUGGUCGCAGCAACUGAGUCGGUUGUUGUUGUUGGAGGUUUUUGAUCGCAUCCAUC
rnacentral:lncRNA from 1 species